UUGAACGCUGGCGGCAUGCCUUACACAUGCAAGUCGAACGGUAACAGGUCUUCGGAUGCUGACGAGUGGCGAACGGGUGAGUAAUACAUCGGAACGUGCCUAGUAGUGGGGGAUAACUACUCGAAAGAGUAGCUAAUACCGCAUGAGAUCUACGGAUGAAAGCAGGGGACCUUCGGGCCUUGUGCUACUAGAGCGGCCGAUGGCAGAUUAGGUAGUUGGUGGGAUAAAAGCUUACCAAGCCGACGAUCUGUAGCUGGUCUGAGAGGACGACCAGCCACACUGGGACUUAGACACGGCCCAGACUCCUACGGGAGGCAGCAGUGGGGAAUUUUGGACAAUGGGCGAAAGCCUGAUUCAGCAAUGCCGCGUGCAGGAUGAAGGCCUUCGGGUUGUAAACUGCUUUUGUACGGAACGAAAAAGCUCCUUCUAAUACAGGGGGCCCAUGACGGUACCGUAAGAAUAAGCACCGGCUAACUACGUGCCAGCCGCCGCCGUAACAC
rnacentral:rRNA from 1 species